AUACUUACCUGGCAGGGGACAUACCAUGAUCACAAAGGUGGUUUUUCCCAGGUUGAGACUCAUCCAUUGCACUUCGGGUGUGCUGAUCCUGCAAUUUCCCCAAAUGUGGGAAACUCGACUGCAUAAUUUGUGGUAGUGGGAGACUGUGUUUGUGCUUCCCCUGG
rnacentral:snRNA from 1 species